GCAAGCAAGCAAGAUUUGAUGGCUGUGAAGCAGAUACUUGGUCACCUCAGUGGCUGACAGAUUUCAUGGAGCAGCUAGAUUAUAGUGAUCGAGAUAAGUAUACUUUGUACUGGCUUCUCCCUAGAAAGGAUCUCGGAUCAGGACUCCGCAUUAUAGACCGAGAUGUUGACACAAUGCAUAUGAUUGCUAUUGUUCCUAAAUUUCAAUACUUUCAGAUUUUUGUGGACCACAAAGAUAUGAAUUUUGAUGAUGUUGUUGUAAUUGAUGAUGUCGUGAUUGGUGGCUCUCCUAGUUCGCCUCCUGUGUUGAGCCCAACUCGUGGCAAGUAUAAGGCUAUAUACCUGAUUGGUGGCUCUCCUAGUUCGCCUCCUGUGUGAUCUCACAUCUGUGCACUUGAUUUGUCCUUACAUGAUUACUAUAUCUCACAUUUCUUUGAUUUGUUUCAAAAAAAGAUAGUACACCAGAUGGCUACAAGUGCAACAGCUAGUAUUGUGGAAUCUGCAAUGAGUUACAGUGUCACGUCAUCUAGUGUGAUUCAUGUUCUACAGGAACAAGCAAUAGCGACACAACAAUCUCAAACUGCACCACCAGGUCCUCUACCCGAGAGUCAAUUCAUUGCCAGCUACAAGGAUGAGCUCCCACCUCCAAGACCACCUACCAAAACACUUGGUUUAAAGAAGAAAAAGAAGCAACAAGUGUCAAAGAAGAAAGAGAACCAAGUCCCAGAUGUUUAGUUGAAUGAAUGCUAGUUCAUAUUUUGGAGAUGUUUUAUCUGUAUAUUUUGGAUAACUUGCGUUCAUAUUUUGUCUUGGUUUGACAGAAACCUGAUGCUCAUGUGUAGCUCUGGUUUCAAUCAAACCGUCUAAGUGCAAACUUAUCUACAGUGCACUUGUGCUGGCAGUUGUUUAUUUUGGCUGAAACAAGACAAUAUAGUAAACUCGAUCUCGAUCUAUUAAGUUAUUAUCUUGUGUUGUAA